rnacentral:rRNA from 1 species
GACGAACGCUGGCGGCGUGCUUAACACAUGCAAGUCGAACGAAGAGCGAUGGAAGCUUGCUUCUAUCAAUCUUAGUGGCGAACGGGUGAGUAACGCGUAAUCAACCUGCCCUUCAGAGGGGGACAACAGUUGGAAACGACUGCUAAUACCGCAUACGAUCUAAUCUCGGCAUCGAGGAUAGAUGAAAGGUGGCCUCUACAUGUAAGCUAUCACUGAAGGAGGGGAUUGCGUCUGAUUAGCUAGUUGGAGGGGUAACGGCCCACCAAGGCGAUGAUCAGUAGCCGGUCUGAGAGGAUGAACGGCCACAGUGGGACUGAGACACGGCCCAGACUCCUACGGGAGGCAGCAGUGGGGAAUCUUCCGCAAUGGACGAAAGUCUGACGGAGCAACGCCGCGUGAGUGAUGACGGCCUUCGGGUUGUAAAGCUCUGUUAAUCGGGACGAAAGGCCUUCUUGCGAAUAGUGAGAAGGAUUGACGGUACCGGAAGAGAAAGCCACGGCUAACUACGUG